rnacentral:lncRNA from 1 species
ACACAAACGUUUGCUUUCUAUUUAAAAUGGAACGUGGAAACGAAGACUGUGAGCGACAACCACAGCGUGUAAGUUUCUUGCCUGUAAAUCUCUGCUCUGCUUGGGGAGAUAAAAACGACCCAAAUGAAAUGAAGACGCACGUCAAAGAUUUUUUUCUACUCAAGCAUGGCGGUGAUAAUUGGAUUGUGUGGACACCUGUAUGAGUGCAGUAUUUCCAGGGGAUUAGAGAACGGGAUGGCUUUUGCAGGUUCUGUCCAGACCCGUGGACUGAGUUCACCUGACUGUUGUCUCGCGAUGGACCAGAUCUGCACAUUUGGGGACGUCGGUGUCAGCACACUUGAAGCAUCAACUUUGACCUCUCAGUAA